rnacentral:rRNA from 1 species
GAAACUUAAAGGAAUUGACGGGACCCGCACAAGCAGCGGAGCAUGUGGUUUAAUUCGAAGCAACGCGAAGAACCUUACCAGAUCUUGACAUCCAAUUGACCAUCUUUUAAUCGAGAUUUUGCCUUCGGGUACAAUUGAGACAGGUGGUGCAUGGUUGUCGUCAGCUCGUGUCGUGAGAUGUUGGGUUAAGUCCCGCAACGAGCGCAACCCUUGUGUUUAGUUGCAAACAGGUCAAGCUGUGCACUCUAGACAGACUGCCGUGGACAACACGGAGGAAGGUGGGGAUGACGUCAAAUCAUCAUGCCCCUUAUGAUCUGGGCUACACACGUGCUACAAUGGCCGGUACAGAGCGCAGCGAGGCCGCGAGGCGGAGCGAAUCGCUUAAAGCCGGUCCCAGUACGGAUUGGAGUCUGCAACCCGACUCCAUGAAGUUGGAAUCGCUAGUAAUCGCGCAUCAGCAUGGCGCGGUGAAUACGUUCCCGGGCCUU